GAAUUUUGGACCAUGGGCGAAAGCCUGAUCCAGCAAUGCCGCGUGCAGGAUGAAGGCCUUCGGGUUGUAAACUGCUUUUGUACGGAACGAAAAGCUUUGGGUUAAUACCCUGGAGUCAUGACGGUACCGUAAGAAAAAGCAACGGCUAAACACGUGCCAGCAGCAGCGGUAAUCCGUGGGGUGCAAGCGUUAAUCGGAACUACUGGGCGUAAAGCGUGCGCAGGCGGUUUUGUAAGACAGAGGUGAAAUCCCCGGGCUCAAACUGGGAACUGCCUUUGUGACUGCAAGGCUAGAGUACGGCAGAGGGGGGUGGAAUUCCGCGGGUAGCAGUGAAAUGCGUAGAUAUGCGGAGGAACACCGAUGGCGAAGGCAACCCCCUGGGCCUGUACUGACGCUCAUGCACGAAAGCGUGGGGAGCAAACA
rnacentral:rRNA from 1 species